UCCUUCUUAGCUCAGUUGGUAGAGCGCGUCACUAGUAUAUAGAUACAUGACGAGGUCAGUCGUUCAAGUCGGCUAGAAGGAA
rnacentral:tRNA from 1 species